rnacentral:hammerhead_ribozyme from 1 species
AUCUAGGUGACGAGUCCAAGAUGAGACGAAAUGCUCAUCCUGGAU